UACGGAGGGGGCAAGCGUUGUUCGGAAUUAUUGGGCGUAAAGAGUAUGUAGGCGGCUAAAUAAGUCAGACGUGCAAGCCCGUGGCUCAACCACGGAAUUGCGUUUGAAACUGUAUAGCUUGAGUACAGGAGAGGAAAGCGGAAUUCCCAGUGUAGCGGUGAAAUGCAUUGAUAUUGGGAAGAACAUCUGUGGCGAAGGCGGCUUUCUGGUCUGUUACUGACGCUGAGAUACGAAAGCCAGGGGAGCAAAGGGGAUUAGAUACCCCCGUAGUCCUGGCUGUAAACGAUGGGCACUAGGUGCAGGAGGUAUCGAUCCCCUCUGUGCCGUAGCUAACGCAUUAAGUGCCCCGCCUGG
rnacentral:rRNA from 1 species